GCUUCGAUCUUGAUCUUGAUCUUGAGCUUUGCCUCUUCUCUUUCUUCCCUCUCUUUGGCCUUGACUUUGAUCUUUUUGCCUCUCUUUCAUCAUCAUCAGUGUUUGAUGUUUCCAAUGAUGAACUUGAACUAGAAUCUGAAGAUCUUCGAGAAUGCUACAGCCAAGCCAAGUGUCGAGUAUACAGUGAGUUAAUAAUGCAUUUAUAACUAAUGAUGUGGUGAUUUAGUACCUAGAAUAUUCAAAUUACUCAGUACAUCAUGAGGUGUGAAAAAAAAUAUGAAAGAGGAAAA
rnacentral:lncRNA from 1 species